CUUAUUUUGUUGGAAGCCUGAGGUCCCUGCCUUCUCUGCUAUGGUCAGACUGGGACUGCAAAACCAUUAGCAGCAAAAUUGUAUAUUGUCAGGCGAAGUUACAUGGAAACAACCGCAAUAAAUUUGCCUUAAUAUUUUAAUUUCAGUAGUUUAUGAUAGACAGUACAAGUAAACAACAAAAAAAAAAUGGAAGAAAACGAAACAUUAACAGCUUUGAAGGGAGAAAUUUAUAAUCCCCAUAAUUGGGAUUGAACCCAAAGGCUCUCUAUCACUCUAUCAUGCUUCAUCCUCAACCAUUUUUCUUUAGGGUCUUGCUAAAUUGCAAGGCUGGCCUCAAACUUGAGAUCCUCCUGCCUCAGCCUCCUGGUGCAGCAGGGAUUACAGGCAUGGGCCACUGUACCCAGCAGAGGAAUUUAUAAUCUUAUAGGAAAAAAAAAUGUGUGCAAAGAUAAUUCUAUGCCAGGUGGUAGGUACUGCCUAAAUAUUAAUUACUACUUGUGCCUACCACAACAGGGGGGUGUGAAAGGUUACAGUGAUUGUUUACUUAUUAGCAGAAAUGGGGUAAUGUAUAGGGUAGUAAGCAAUAGAUUUUGUUUGAUUUUUCUUGUCUCUUCUUUGAUAAGAAGAGUUUGCCAUUUUCAAACUAGUGAUCCAGAUCAAAUGAAAGAGCUUAAUCCUAGCUGUUGGUUUAAAAGGUUUGAAGGGAACUCAGCUCUAGGAACAAUAGAACGUAGUUAAGCUAAUCAUUUAUUGUGUUCCUAUCCCCUGACUUUCUUUUUUAAAAUUGUGAAAUUUAUCAAUAUUAUGCAAUAGAUUGUAUAAAAUAUGCAUGUAACUUAAAGAAAGAUACUAAGACAGCCAGGGCUCAGUGUCAGAAAUAGAGUCAUACCAAUACCAGAACAUGACAAGCUGCCUGUGGUGCCUUUCUCACAGUAGCACUCUUUCCCUCACUCCAACUAAUUCUCUUUUUGAGUUAUCAUUCUUUUACUUUUUAUUUGUAAUUUAUAAUACAGAUGUACAUCUGUAUAUAUGUUUCUAAAACCCUUUUUUUGUUUUGUUGACUUAAAAAACAGCUUUACUGAAGUCUGACAUAUAGUGAACUUCAUCUAUUUAAAGUGUACCACUUGACAUAUGAAUACACCUGUGAAACCAUAAACAAUAUAAUAUACAUAUCACUCUAAAAAUCUUCUCUUGACAUUUGUAAUUUCUCCCUUCUCCCUCCUCCCCCGCAACCCUUGCCCUAUCAGUAUCCACACAUUUACUUUCUGUAAUUACAUUCCCUUUUAGAACUAAUACUCCCUUUAGAAUUUUAAUUAUAAUUGCACUGAAACUUUAGAUCAAUUUGGGGAGAAUUUUCUUUAUGAUACAGUGGCCCUUCCCUAUUCAGGAACAUUAUAUAGCUCUAAUUAUUUAAAUUUCUAAGUGUCUUUAGCAGAGUUUUAUAAUUCUCACCAUAAAAAAGCUUACACAUUCUUUUUAGGUUUGUUCCUAGGCACCUUUUAAUAAAUUUUGUAGAUAGUACACUUUUCCCCUCCUCUAAAUGACAUUUCCUGAGUUAUUGUUGCUGCUCUAGGUUCUUAAAAGACUCUGAAAGUAUAAUUUUAAGUUAUUUUACCCUUAGUUAUAAAUAGCACCAGAAACACUUAUUCAAGGAAUUAAUAUGCAGUUUAUUCACUGAAUUAAUCUGCAGUAGUUGCUCAAAAAAGAUAUGUCUUUAACUUUUUGCAGUUUGCUUAAAGUUGACAUUGUACCAUUCCAUGUAAAAAUGAAGCACUUUCUUACCC
rnacentral:lncRNA from 1 species